rnacentral:rRNA from 1 species
GACGUAGGGAGCGAGCGUUGUCCGGAUUCAUUGGGCGUAAAGAGCGCGCAGGCGGUUUGGUAAGUCGGAUGUGAAAUCCCGGAGCUCAACUCCGGACCUGCAUCCGAAACUGCCCGACUAGAGGUAGGUAGGGGAGAUCGGAAUUCCUGGUGUAGCGGUGAAAUGCGCAGAUAUCAGGAGGAACACCGGUGGCGAAGGCGGAUCUCUGGGCCUUACCUGACGCUCAGGCGCGAAAGCUAGGGGAGCGAACAGG